CCCUACGGGGGGCAGCAGUGGGGAAUAUUGCACAAUGGGGGAAACCCUGAUGCAGCGACGCCGCGUGAAGGACGAAGUAUUUCGGUACGUAAACUUCUAUCAGCAGGGAAGAAAAUGACGGUACCUGACCAAGAAGCCCCGGCUAACUACGUGCCAGCAGCCGCGGUAAUACGUAGGGGGCAAGCGUUAUCCGGAUUUACUGGGUGUAAAGGGAGCGUAGACGGCCGUGCAUGUCUGAUGUGAAAGUCCGAGGCUCAACCUCGGGACUGAAUUGGAAACUGUCUGGCUAGAGUGCAGGCGAGGCA
rnacentral:rRNA from 1 species